rnacentral:tRNA from 1 species
GGUUUUAUAGUUUAAAUUAAAACAAAAGAACUGCAAAUUCUUUUAUACUUUUAGUUAAAACCU